rnacentral:rRNA from 1 species
UUUAUGGAGAGUUUGAUCCUGGCUCAGGAUGAACGCUGGCGGCGUGCCUAAUACAUGCAAGUCGAGCGAACGGACGAGAAGCUUGCUUCUCUGAUGUUAGCGGCGGACGGGUGAGUAACACGUGGAUAACCUACCUAUAAGACUGGGAUAACUUCGGGAAACCGGAGCUAAUACCGGAUAAUAUUUUGAACCGCAUGGUUCAAAAGUAAAAGACGGUCUUGCUGUCACUUAUAGAUGGAUCCGCGCUGCAUUAGCUAGUUGGUAAGGUAACGGCUUACCAAGGCAACGAUGCAUAGCCGACCUGAGAGGAUGAUCGGCCACACUGGAACUGAGACACGGUCCAGACUCCUACGGGAGGCAGCAGUAGGGAAUCUUCCGCAAUGGGCGAAAGCCUGACGGAGCAACGCCGCGUGAGUGAUGAAGGUCUUCGGAUCGUAAAACUCUGUUAUUAGGGAAGAACAUAUGUGUAAGUAACUGUGCACAUCUUGACGGUACCUAAUCAGAAAGCCACGGCUAACUACGUGCCAGCAGCCGCGGUAAUACGUAGGUGGCAAGCGUUAUCCGGAAUUAUUGGGCGUAAAGCGCGCGUAGGCGGUUUUUUAAGUCUGAUGUGAAAGCCCACGGCUCAACCGUGGAGGGUCAUUGGAAACUGGAAAACUUGAGUGCAGAAGAGGAAAGUGGAAUUCCAUGUGUAGCGGUGAAAUGCGCAGAGAUAUGGAGGAACACCAGUGGCGAAGGCGACUUUCUGGUCUGUAACUGACGCUGAUGUGCGAAAGCGUGGGGAUCAAACAGGAUUAGAUACCCUGGUAGUCCACGCCGUAAACGAUGAGUGCUAAGUGUUAGGGGGUUUCCGCCCCUUAGUGCUGCAGCUAACGCAUUAAGCACUCCGCCUGGGGAGUACGACCGCAAGGUUGAAACUCAAAGGAAUUGACGGGGACCCGCACAAGCGGUGGAGCAUGUGGUUUAAUUCGAAGCAACGCGAAGAACCUUACCAAAUCUUGACAUCCUUUGACAACUCUAGAGAUAGAGCCUUCCCCUUCGGGGGACAAAGUGACAGGUGGUGCAUGGUUGUCGUCAGCUCGUGUCGUGAGAUGUUGGGUUAAGUCCCGCAACGAGCGCAACCCUUAAGCUUAGUUGCCAUCAUUAAGUUGGGCACUCUAAGUUGACUGCCGGUGACAAACCGGAGGAAGGUGGGGAUGACGUCAAAUCAUCAUGCCCCUUAUGAUUUGGGCUACACACGUGCUACAAUGGACAAUACAAAGGGCAGCGAAACCGCGAGGUCAAGCAAAUCCCAUAAAGUUGUUCUCAGUUCGGAUUGUAGUCUGCAACUCGACUACAUGAAGCUGGAAUCGCUAGUAAUCGUAGAUCAGCAUGCUACGGUGAAUACGUUCCCGGGUCUUGUACACACCGCCCGUCACACCACGAGAGUUUGUAACACCCGAAGCCGGUGGAGUAACCUUUUAGGAGCUAGCCGUCGAAGGUGGGACAAAUGAUUGGGGUGAAGUCGUAACAAGGUAGCCGUAUCGGAAGGUGCGGCUGGAUCACCUCCUUUCU